rnacentral:rRNA from 1 species
ACACGAGGAAACUUGUGCUAAUACCGGAUAAGUCUUUACGGAGAAAGCUUUAUGCACCAUUGGAUGAGCCCGCACUUGAUUAGUUUGUUGGUAGGGUAAUGGCCUACCAAGACUUUGAUCAAUAGCUGAUUUGAGAGGAUGAUCAGCCACAUUGGGACUGAGACACGGCCCAAACUCCUACGGGAGGCAGCAGUGGGGAAUCUUGCACAAUGGAGGAAACUCUGAUGCAGCGAUGCCGCGUGAGUGAAGAAGGCCUUUGGGUUGUAAAGCUCUUUCGUCGGGGAAGAAAAUGACUGUACCCGAAUAAGAAG